rnacentral:rRNA from 1 species
UCCCAGACUCCUACGGGAGGCAGCAGUGGGGAAUAUUGCACAAUGGGGGAAACCCUGAUGCAGCGACGCCGCGUGAGUGAAGAAGUAAUUCGUUAUGUAAAGCUCUAUCAGCAGGGAAGAAAAUGACGGUACCUGAGUAAGAAGCCCCGGCUAACUACGUGCCAGCAGCCGCGGUAAUACGUAGGGGGCAAGCGUUAUCCGGAUUUACGGGGUGUAAAGGGUGCGUAGGCGGUCCGGAAAGUCAGCGGUAAACGCCCGGGGCCCACCCCCGGCGAGCCGUUGAAACUGUCGGACUAGAGACGGCGAGAAGUACGCGGAAUGCGCGGUGUAGCGGUGAAAUGCAUAGAUAUCGCGCAGAACUCCGAUUGCGAAGGCAGCGUACCGGCGCCGGACUGACGCUGAGGCACGAAAGCGUGGGUAUCGAACAGGAUUAGAUACCCCAGUA